AGAUGGUGGAGUGGAAGCCGGACUUGUACCACGACUCGUACGGGUGCGCCAUGCCCACCCUCGGAUACAGGCUCUCGGCGGCGGAGGUGUGCACCUUGGAGAUGAAGGCCGACUGGCCGGACUCCUGGCUUGACACGCUGCCGCCGUUGGUGAACAAGCCGCUGUACUCGCUGGAGAAUGCGGCCGACGUCGGGGAGGCGCUGGAGGCCAGGCAGAAGGCGCUGUUGCCGGCGCCGCUCGUCGGCGCUAGUCCCGUGGGAGCGCGGCUGGUCGCCACCGUGAAGCCGGGGAGAGCCGAACCAGAGUUGCAACUUGACGUGGAUCUCUUCCACGGGUGAAAUCCCCCUUUGGAGAAGGCGCUGGAGUCGGGCAAAGUAGUGAGGGGGCUCGUGUUUCCAAUCUUGUUGCAGGUUGCGGCCAGCAUAGCUAAAGGUGUCGUUCCAAACCGAGGCUCUUCCUAAUAGGGACGAAACAAAAAAGCGCCAUGACUUAAACAUCCGAUAAUAUUCACUUCUCCCACAGUCCCAUAAUAACUACAGCGCAAAAGUUGUCUCAAGUGCCACUCUGAAAACAACUCACCCCAAGAAUGGAGGUAGCCAUAUCCAAGUUGAAUCCUGUAGGUGGGGAAAAUGGGAGGCGAUCUCAGACUUGCUCGGAACCGGAGUGAUCCAGAGCCUCCGUGUUGUGACUCGGGUCAACACGGAUUCUGUUCUGGCCCCAGUCUCCCGGCACUACUUUUAGUCGAAGCGAGCGUCUUGUUUUGAAGUGGAACUCGCCGAGCGCACGGGGCCAAUCGGGAAGCGAUUUUGGGGAAAGCGGAAGCUUUCGGCCAAUGGGAAAGGCGAGCGCGUGUUGAGGCGACUCUGAGCCACGCCCAUAAAGCAGCCGCUUCUUUGCCUCGGCUGGUGCUCACUUAUACUCAACCAAACUGGAUUUGGCUUUUUUUAAAAUGCCACCAUUUAUUUUUGAUGAAUUCUCCUCGAAUGCCCAACAUUUGGAGGCGACUCGUUCACAAGGGGAAAGGGGAAGAUGAAGCUCAACGUCUACUUCUGGUUAGGUGACUAAAAAUGGGAACUCCGUGCCAGCCCAAUGUUGGGAACCUUUUUCAACAUGCUGACAAAAAGUCAGCUUGCUGCUGAAAAUGUCCCCUUCUGCACCAUUGACCCAAAUGAAAGCAGAGUGCCCAUUCCGGCCCGGCGCUAUGAUUUCCUCUGCCAAUUCCACAAAGCAGCCAGGUGCAUUUGCCGAUGAGGAUAUCAUCCAUGUUGAGGAGAGCGCGAACCCCGUGAGGGACAUGGAGAUCAUCUAGGAGAAACUGAGGCUGAAGGACGAGGAGAUGAGCUUUCCUAUUAUUGGCAAACUGGAGAAGAUGGCCAUUAGAGGCAGCGACAAGAAACUCAAACCAGAAGACGUGAGUCAGUCUCAGCAGGAUCUUUGCACCCCCCGACCAGUCCGCCCCCCCUCGCCCUCACUUCCAGCAGCGCAGCACAAAUAAUCACCCUCCCACACACAUGGCAAAAGCAGAAAAAGUGUGUUUUUCUUAAUCUCCACACCAUAAAUCUCCCCCCUCCUGCAUCCCCCCUCGCCAUUUUCCACCUUUCUGAGAUUGAAAGUGAUCAGGGGUCAGGAGUGUGCCGCUGUAGAAAUCAUUAAUAGAGAGUUACUUAUUCAGUGGCCGACCCCCGGGUCAGUGCUGUGGCCUAAUGAAAGUGUUUCCACACAGCUCUUUUUCAUCCAAAGUAAUACUCAAAUCAUUGAACAUGCAGCCGCUUAAGGGAGGAUAGCAGCUGAUGCGUCUGUCUACAUCACACUGAAAUUGUUUACAAUACAGUAGAAUCUGAAAAGUCCUUGUAAAGUGAAAACAAUUGGCUUUGAAAUUUGAUACACUUUAGAGAAUUGUGUUCAUCUGUACCGCUUAUCCUCCCAAAUUUGAGGGAUUAAAAAAAUUACCUGUAUAUUACAAUGAGCGCAAAGCUCUGUUAUUUACGUUGCU